AUACUUAUCUGGCAGGCGAGAUACCAUGAUCAUGAAGCUGGUUUUCCCAGGGCUAGGCUCAUCCAUUGCACUCCAGAUGUGCUGACCCCUGUGAUUUCCACAAAUGUGCUAAACUAGACUGCAUAAUUUGUGAUACUUGGGGACUGCAUUCACGCUCUCCCCUA
rnacentral:snRNA from 1 species